rnacentral:rRNA from 1 species
UACGUAGGGUGCGAGCGUUGUCCGGAAUUAUUGGGCGUAAAGAGCUCGUAGGCGGUGUGUCACGUCGUUCGUGAAAACCUGCAGCUUAACUGUGGGCGUGCGGUCGAUACGGGCAUCACUGGAGUUCGGCAGGGGAGACUGGAAUUCCUGGUGUAGCGGUGAAAUGCGCAGAUAUCAGGAGGAACACCGGUGGCGAAGGCGGCAUCCUGGACCGACAUUGACGCUGAUGAGCGAAAGCUAGGGGAGCAAACGGG